rnacentral:tRNA from 1 species
UCCCUGAUCGUAUAGUGGUUAGUAUCUCCGCCUGUCACGCGGAAGACCGGGGUUCAAUUCCCCGUCAGGGAG